UACGUAGGGGGCUAGCGUUGUCCGGAAUCAUUGGGCGUAAAGAGCGCGUAGGCGGCUAGAUAAGUCCGGUGUGAAAGCCACAGGCUCAACCUGUGAAUGCCGCUGGAAACUGUCUGGCUAGAGUCCGGAAGGGGCGAGUGGAAUUCCUGGUGUAGCGGUGAAAUGCGCAGAUAUCAGGAGGAACACCAAUGGCGAAGGCAGCUCGCUGGGACGGUACUGACGCUGAGGCGCGAAAGCGUGGGGAGCAAACAGG
rnacentral:rRNA from 1 species